AUUGAACGCUGGCGGCAGGCCUAACACAUGCAAGUCGAGCGAGCGGCGGACGGGUGAGUAAUGUCUGGGAAACUGCCUGAGGGAGGGGGAGAACUACUGGAAACGGUAGCUAAUACCGCAUACCAUCAGAUGUGCCCAGAUGGGAUUAGCUAUUAGGUGGGGUAAUGGCUCACCUAGGCGACGAUCCCUAGCUGGUCUGAGAGGAUGACCAGCCACACUGGACCGGAGACACGGUCCAGACGCCUACGGGAGGCAGCAGUGGGGAAUUUUGCACAAGGGGAGCAAGCCUGUUGCAGCCAUGCCGCGUGUUUGAAGAAGGCCUUCGGGUUGUAAAGCACUUUCAGCGGGGAGGCGUUACCCGCAGAAGAAGCACCGGCUAACUCCGUGCCAGCAGCCGCGGUAAUUC
rnacentral:rRNA from 1 species